UACGUAGGGUGCGAGCGUUGUCCGGAAUUACUGGGCGUAAAGAGCUCGUAGGUGGUUUGUCGCGUUGUUCGUGAAAACUCACAGCUCAACUGUGGGCGUGCGGGCGAUACGGGCAGACUGGAGUACUGCAGGGGAGACUGGAAUUCCUGGUGUAGCGGUGGAAUGCGCAGAUAUCAGGAGGAACACCAAUAGCGAAGGCAGCUCGCUGGGACGGUACUGACGCUGAGGCGCGAAAGCGUGGGGAGCGAACAGG
rnacentral:rRNA from 1 species